GUUGUAUGGUUAAGUGACUAAGCGUACACGGUGGAUGCCUGGGCAGUCAGAGGCGAUGAAGGACGUACUAACUUGCGAUAAGCGCAGAUAAGGCAGUAAGAGCCGUUUGAGUCUGCGAUUUCCGAAUGGGGAAACCCAACUGCAUAAGCAGUUACUGUUAACUGAAUACAUAGGUUAACAGAGCAAACCGGGGGAACUGAAACAUCUAAGUACCCCGAGGAGAAGAAAUCAACCGAGAUUCCGGUAGUAGCGGCGAGCGAACCUGGAUUAGCCCUUAAGCACUCGGUGAAGUAGGUGAACAAGCUGGAAAGCUUGGCGAUACAGGGUGAUAGCCCCGUAACCGACGCUUCAUCGAGCGUGAAAUCGAGUAGGGCGGGACACGUGAUAUCCUGUCUGAAUAUGGGGGGACCAUCCUCCAAGGCUAAAUACUCCUGACUGACCGAUAGUGAACCAGUACCGUGAGGGAAAGGCGAAAAGAACCCCUGUGAGGGGAGUGAAAUAGAACCUGAAACCGUGUACGUACAAGCAGUAGGAGCACCUUCGUGGUGUGACUGCGUACCUUUUGUAUAAUGGGUCAGCGACUUAUAUUCAGUGGCAAGGUUAACCGUAUAGGGGAGCCGUAGCGAAAGCGAGUCUUAACUGGGCGCUCAGUCUCUGGAUAUAGACCCGAAACCGGGUGAUCUAGCCAUGGGCAGGUUGAAGGUUGAGUAACAUCAACUGGAGGACCGAACCGACUAAUGUUGAAAAAUUAGCGGAUGACUUGUGGCUAGGGGUGAAAGGCCAAUCAAACUCGGAGAUAGCUGGUUCUCCCCGAAAGCUAUUUAGGUAGCGCCUCGGACGAAUACUACU
rnacentral:rRNA from 1 species